GAAUCGAAUAAAAUCACCAUACUGAACUCUGAAAUAUUAUACCUUAAUCUAAAAACAAAAAUCCUUGCUUAACCCCAAAUAAGAACUUUCAGUUUCAUCUCCAAAGUUAAUUGCAAGUAUUUCUGACAUAAAAAGCUCAAGCAAGACUGCAGAAGGAUACACACACACACACACACACGCGCGCAAAAAGCUCAGCCUCCAAUCCCCACCCACCAGUCUCAGUCAAAGGAUGACUUCAGUCCCUUUCUUAACUAAUCCUGUCACUGUAAAAUCCUACACUCAUUCUUCCACACACAGAGGGAAAAGGGACUCACUAGGAAGACCUAGUCUUUCAGUUUUAACUAUUAACCAAUAGUGGAAAAACAAGGAUGCCUAAGUUAUGCCUUCAGAGCCAAUAGGGUGGAUUUGUGUGUCCCACAUGACAGCAUUUCCCCUGUCUUUCACAUGAGCAGUAUUUAGUUCAAUUCAGAAUUGCAGAUAGUACAGCUUGCACUGCAGCAAUGGGAUGUCUGAGCACAAGUGACUGACUUCCGAGUGACUUUAUAAAACACUUUUGUACUUUCCUUCUGCAUUAAAUUGGGAUCUGCAUCCUUGACAUUCACCCACCACACACAUCUCUACUGAAGGAAACAGUGACUAGCACAACUUAGCAGUAUGAAACUGCCCUAUGCUCAAAUACCACAAAGAAGGGCAUAAGAAGCAGCAUUGAACUGAAUAUGAAGGCAAAAUUCCCAUUGACUUCCGUGUUUAUCUGCACCAGAGGAACUGGAGCAGAAUUGCAGACCAACAAACGAAGUGAGCUGAAGGCAUUUUGACCAAUGUCUUCUGUGUGAAUUCCACAGAGGCUGAUGAAGCAUGUUAUCAGGUCUCCAAGAGGAAGGCUCUAACAUCAGAUAUAAACAAAGGAACUGCUUUCUUUGAAAUUCAGCUGUUUUAAGGCCAGAGAAUUGUUCUUUUGGGGCCUGAUCCGGCAAGACCUCACAUGGGCUACUCCACUGAAUACAAGAGAGAUUACUCAGAAUCCUUAAGAUUCCAGCGAGAGUCCAGAGACAAAAAGUAGACGCUAAGAACAGGUUCAUUUGCCACAUUUCACUUAAAACAAAGUCCAGUGUCAAUACAAUAUGAAGAUGUGGCAUUUGAGAGGGUUUUAUAUAUAUAAUUUUAUAUAUUUAAAAAUGGAGAAACAACAUGAACAAUGGAACAGAAGAACAGGUAAACUGGUUUUAAAAGGGAAUAAAAAGGAGCCAAUAAUUAUGCCUCACUCUACUUGCAAAUCAUGCUCAGGACCUCAUAUAGUGUGAACUGGCCUAGCUCUAUUGAUACCAAUAGAGCUAUGCCAAUUUAUACUAGCGGAGGAUCUGUCUUAAUACCAUUUUUAGAUACUGCCACUGGAAUUCACACUUUCGUGUCAAAAUUGAAAAAGAGUUUGAAAAUGCACUCUCUUUCUUCCUUCUCCAAGUGUAUAACUGAAGGCUUGCUGACUGUGGGAGAUUAAUGAAAGUAGCCAAAAACUGUGCACAAGUGAUAGUUUGUGACACGUGCAGAACAAUGUGUUUUUGCCCCUUGCUUCUAGACAAAUGAAUAUUUAUAUGCAAGGCAUAAUUUUCCCUGUAGUAACAAUUUAACAACAUCAAGGAGAUGCUAUUAACUGUUAAAUGUUGUCAGUGCAAGUUAAAGAUGCUGUAAGCCACUCAAAGCCUUUACCACUGAGCUACAUUAACAUAAUCUUUCAAUCAGUGCAGAAGCUGCAUAGAAUUUUUUUUUAAAUGUAUCCCUAAAAAGCUAUGCUAGGAGUGCAAUUCUUAGAACCUGUAUGUACUUGCAAGAAAUCCCCAAUUCCAGACUAUUUGUAUAACCAGGUGCUUGUCUUACAAUCUCACUGCAUGUAAAGGCAGCAAGAUAGAUUCAAAAGGAUGUUCAAUGCAGUCAACAUGGAUCCAGACUUAUUUGGCAUCUAUCAUGUAUUCCGCAAUCGGUGGGUGGGUGUGUGGAGGCGGAAAAAGGAAGGUGAGGGACAAAGAAGAGGGCAGGGAAGAGUUUCAAAUGAAAGCUGCAGUCACUAUUUCCAAAUAGGGAAAGGAAGCCUAAUUAACUAUACCAUAUAGGGAAACUGUAAACAUGAGUGGUAGUGAACAGUGAAAUCUAGUUGCUGAUAUUAGCCAAUAUUAUGCAGUUAAACAUUCUUCUUUGAUACCAGAUAAAAAAGUCAAGAUGUGGACUCCUGUUAAUUAGGAGUUGAGAUGCAGCUUCCUCAGCAGCAAAGUAAUGGUUUGUGCAACACACACCCCCCAUAUCUUCAAUUUAGGUCAGCCAUCAAGAGGAGGAAAAAAGGACUGGAGACUGAAGAUGAGAUGCUCUAUUUCACACAGUUGCCCUCUGGAAGGACUGGCAAAGGCAGUCACUUAAAUUAAGUGCAGGUCAUCAGACAAGAUAUAUAAUCUAUUCCUGAAACAGACAAUCUCAACAGCCCAAAUCCCUAUGGCCUUUACAGCGACACAAUGAACUACUUCCUCAUGUACCUCUGUCAAUUCACGUUAGGUUCCUACUUUUUUAAAAGUGAUAUUUCAUGUACAUUAUGACCCUAUUGCUCAUAGCAAGGAAAGUGCUUUGGUUUAUUUAUGACCUACUAACCUUAAAUUAAAAAAAAGCAUACAAGUAAUCUGAAUGUUCUCAUAAGCCUGGAGAUUUGAAAUAAAACUUAAAAUAAAUCUGGCAUUUGUAGUACAGCCAGCUAAGCUAUAUUUGCCCAGUUGGGAAUUUUUUUUUUUUAAAUGAAAACCAGAUGACAAGAGGAAAGCAUUAUUACCCUACAUAAACUGCAGGUUUGGGGCAUCGGGACUGCAGCUCAUGAGUGCCUGGAUUUCUCAUGAGCCUCUGCUUCCAUCAGCGUAGAGUUAAAUAAAGCAACACUGUGGUUUUACAUCUAUCUCCAGUCUAGAAGACUAGAAUGAAAAGCCAGCUGUAGUUUUUGAGAUAGAAUUUAACCCAGCCACAGAACCUAACCUUGGAAAUAGAGAGGUUGGUUAUCAGCCAGGCAACAUUUUGUGUGUGUGUGUGUGUGUGUGUGUGUGUGUGUGUGUGUGUGUGUGUGUGUGUGAGAGAGAGAGAGAGAGAGAGAGUGUGGGGGGGGGGGGGAAGUGACAGAAAAGGAGAAGUCGUACUAAAAGAAAUGGAGAAUAAAAAGCAAACAUCCUCCCUCUUCUAUGCUAAAAUGUGAGUGACCCUAAACUGCUCAUUUAGCUGGGACAACAUUGACCACACGCAGAUCAGAACAAAGGCCUGUCGAAUCCAAGAGCCUGAUUCUCCACUCACUCAUGAUGAUGUAAAUCAGGAGUAACUUCACUGAAGCCAAUGGAGUUGCACUGGAAUAAAACCAGUGUGAGUGAGCAGAUAAUCAAGCCACAAGACUGUGGUCUGCUAUAUGUGGAUACAUCACAAGUUCUUGGCUGUAUUGGCAAAACAAGUUUACUCUGCAUUUACUUUGAAUUCUGAAGCUUUCACAAUUGCAAGUGAUUCAUUUCCCAGGCCAAAAAAAAAAGAAAAAAAGAAAAAGGAGCCUCCUGUCUACAACACACACUGUAGCCCGCAGAAGAAAGAGGACUCCAGUUUAUGCUACUACAGUCAUGCUGAUGUGCACCAGUAUGAUUUUCUGUUCGAUAAAGGACAGCAAAUAAUUUAUCUUAGUUUACUAUUACAUGUUUAAAAAGUGGGGCAAUCAAUUCCAGUAUAUGCAGGUCUCAUAAAUAUAAAGGGAAGGGGGUUAAGAAGCUCUGAUACAGUACUAUAAAAUCCUCUUACCUGUAAAGGGUUAAGAAGCUCGGGUAAACUGGCUGGCACCUGACCAAGAAAUGACCAAUGUGGGGACAAGAUACUUUUAAAUCUGGGGUGGGUGGGGGGUGGUGGAGAGAGAGAAAGGCUGUGUGUCUGUGGGAUACCUUUGCCGGGAACAGACCAAGGAUGCAAGCCCUCCAACUCCUGUAAAGUUAGUAAGUAAUCUAGCUAGAAAAUGCAUUAGAUUUUUCUUUUGUUUUUGGCUUGUGAAAUUCACUGUGCUGGAGGGCAUGUGUAGUUCUGUUUUUGUGGUUUUUUUGUAACUUAAGGUUUUGCUUAGAGGGAUUCUCUAUGUUUUGAAUUGGAUUACCCUGUAAAGUAUUUACCACCCUGAUUUUACAGAGGUGAUUCUUUUACCUUUUCUUUAAAUAAAAUUCUUCUUUUAAGAACCUGAUUGCUUUUUCAUUGUUCUUAAGAUCCAAGGGUUUGGGUCUGUGUUCACCUAUACAAAUUGGUGAGGAUAUUAUCAAGCCUUUCCCAGGAAAGGGGAUGUAGGGCUUGGGGGAAUAUUUUGGGGGAAUAGGACUCCAACGGGUCCUUUCCCUGUUCUUUGUCUAAAUCACUUGGUGGUGGCAGCAUACUGUUCAAGGACAAGGCGGAAUUUGUGCCUUGGGAAAAAGUUUUUAACCUAAGCUGGUAAAAAUAAACUUAGGGGGUCUUUCAUGUGGGUCCCCACAUCUGUACCCUAGAGUUCAGAGUGGGGAGGGAACCUGACAUGGUGCUAGCAGUGGGAUCAUUUUUGAACCAAAAGCACAGCAGGAUUUUUAAAAGGACAAUUUUUUCUCUCUGCUUGAAAAACAGGGAGAGUUUUUUAAAGCUGAUUAGAGCUGCAGGUUCUGUCCCUUUGCCUGGAGACAGAGCAGCCGCAUAACAAAAGUAUCACACAGACAGACAAAGCCUUCCCCAGGCCCCCAGAUUUGAAAGUAUCUUGUCCCCCCAUUGGUCAUUUCAUGGUCAGGUUCCAGCCAGGUUACCCGAGCUUCUUAACCCUUUACAGGUAAGAGGAUUUUAUAGUACUGUAUCAGAGCUUCUUAACCCCUUCCCUUUACAUUUAUGGCAGCAGGGCAAAUCAGUUAAAAGAAAUAGCUAUGACUUAAAGUCCUUGUCACGGAGCCUUAUUUAUCAUACUAAAGGAAAUAGCACAGAGUCAUGAUAUGUGAUGUCUUUUAGCUUUGGGGUUCCAUUUAUGUGAAUAUUAGCAAGUUGAACAAGAGAUGCUUGAAGUGAAAAUAGGUUAUGCAUUGAUAUGCCAAAUAUACCACACCAACCCCACUUGGAAACAAGAUUUCAGAUGCAGCACUUAAUGAAAACCAACAAGUCAUCGGUUUCAUGAUAACUAGUUCUGCUGCACAGUAAGAUAAAAACUCUCUAGUUGAGCUUGAACCUUUCAAGGGAUUUCUCUUCUGCAGACCAAUUCUGCUUGCCAGUGCAGAUAGUAAGCAAGGUAGAUGAGUAUGAAUCAGAGGACAAAGUGAGACUUGUCUUUCCACUUCCCAACCCUUCCAAUUAAUGGCCAAAGACGACAAAUCUUUGUUGCGUUACACAUGAAUUGCAAUACUACGUACGCUUCCUUUUCUCUAAAAGCCAGUUUUGAUAGAAGAGAAAGUCUAAAUGAACUGGCAAAGUUUAGAAGAAAGGCAAACAACUUCCAUUAUUGCUGGAGCCUUAUCAGAAUGAGCACUUCACGAAGCGUGAUAAUCAAAUCCUUGAUAUGGACAAGACACUUCAAACAAACAAAAACAAAAAAAGCCUACCACACACACAUCCCAUUGCACUCCAAGAAGGAAUCUCUAGGUUAGAAUGAGCCAGAUAAGUUCACCUCUUACUUUCAUAACAGGGGGAGCAAACUGAAAUUUACAUUUAAAGAAAGUCUAACACUGCAUCAGAUUGCAAUCUGAUUACCUCUAAACUAGUAUAAUGGGAUUUCAGUUGACUUCUUAGGUUAGGCAGAUGUGUGUGGUGGAUAUGUAUGUAGAAGGGCUUUCUAAAUUAGAUUAAUUGUAUGGGUUGUAUAGAAGCAUUUGAAGAAACAGGAUGCUCCUUUUAGAGCAGACAAUUAUUUAAUAUAAUGCUACUGGCAUAUACGGUGAUUUACAAAGAGAAUGAAGUAGUUCUACCUCCCCAUCUUCCCCUAGAAGCUUAUUGAGAAACAAAAGCUGCUUAAAACAGUCAAUACCCAACAACCUUAAACAGAUUCAGGUUUGAUUGAAUUUACCCAGCAGAAGAGACUUUAUUGGGACUGGGCAAUCUAUUAGUGACGUUGCUGGUUCAUUUUGCUUUUACCCAGUUGUGUCGAGGUAUGGGAUUGCACACUCUGAUUAACGUGAGUCAAACCAUGGAGCUAAACAACACUAGAUAUUUCAGUCUAGAUUUCCAAACUAGAUAAAUAAAGCUUUUAAAUAAAUGAAACAGACCUUUUCUUUUCAUAGGAUCAAAGCCUGGAGUGUUGCCAGUUCCUUGCUGUAGGACUGUAAUAGAAUGGGCCAAGGAGGGUGGGUGAUGGUGCUAAGGGAACAAUGACAAACUGAAUAAUCUGUAUGAUUAAAACCACUGUGUCAGUUAUGAUUCCCCCUCCCCUUUCAGAUUUUUAAGGAUGCUGUCAAGUCCGUGGAGUUCUGUUUUUAGUGGUUGCUUCAGUGAACAUUCAACGCUGUCGGCCUUUCACUGAAGACAGCUGCCAAACCAGCACACAAGGUAUCUCUUACCCCUACCCCAUCCUCUUUGCAAAGCUUUACUAAAAAGGUCACAAUCAACAUUCAUUGCUGUCGGUGGGUUUAACUAUGUGGACAAGCUCACUGAACAAUGAAUGCAACUGUGGCCCCACUUUUUGCGAUCACAGUCAAGAGGAAUAUCAGCUCUGAAAGCAGCAUUGAAAGUCUUUCAUAUAUGAAACUUUUCUGAUCAAAAGACGAAUAUCUUCAGGAUUUUUUGUUUUAAGCUGGUUUGACUUAGAUGGUUGAGACAACAAUCACUCCUCCCUGGAGUUGAUUACAACAUAAAGGGAGAUCAUUCUGCCAUUAAUAUCUCUUACUUACUACAGAUAUGAACAAAAACUCUGGUAUAGAAAAAGCCUCCCUGUAUGCAUGCCUGAGGACACUGAGCACAGGAAAGAUGGUUGAAAACACUUCUAAAAUAAUAAAUAAUAAUAAUAAAUAAUAAUAAUAAUAAUCAAAUUUAUGCACUGCAACAUUGCACAUGCAAAGAGAUGACAGCUGUGUGUGUCCUUGGCACAACAAGACAAACCCACCCCAAAAUUUCUUGCAAAUGGGAGCGUUAGUUAAAGAACGGCGAUAAUAUUCCUUAAUUUGGUGUAAUACAAUUCAUUGUUAUGUGAAGUUUAUUUAAACACCUAAUAAACAUUAAAAUACAAAUCUUA